rnacentral:lncRNA from 1 species
GAUAUCUAUGGCUAUAGGUAGCAUUAACUAUAACUCUAAGGUCAGUGAGAGAUAGCCCAACAUAUGACUUAUUAUAGUUAUCUACAAUAGUUUCAUUGUCAAGAACAAAACAGAGGGGACUGCCUGGAUUAUAGUUCUCAUUACUAUAAUUUACUAUGGAGAAACAAAUAGGCAGAGUGGGUAUGAAAAUGUUGUUAUUCCAGGGUACAGUUACCUCUUGGAUGGAUAACUCAGGAUCAAUAAGGUUGGAAAUAUUGGAAAAGAGCUUAGGUAAAGCCCCUUCCCAAUUAGCAAUAGCCAGAAGGUGUAGUCUAGUGAUCAGGGCCCAAUUUACCUGGGCCAUGGUACUGUUGGUGGUUAGAGCUGUGCAUAAGAAUAGAAAGAAGACCUGUCCAGGAGGAUUAGGACCAUGACCCUGGCUUUCUCCAAUAUUACUGGCCUGCUGUAUUAGCCCUUUUACAUCACCCCAUGUGACCCCGUGAUGGGGUCUCCUCUGGUGUCCUCUUGCCUUCUUGCAUUUUUGCUUCUUCUCUUCUUGGUGCAUGCAGUGGGUCAUCAUUGCCGGUAGGUGUCCAGGGUUUGACAUGCCAGGCUGGAAUCCAGAUAGGCUGGGAAGACACAAGCAAAACCCCUACCCAACACCAGAAACAGCGAAGGCUUCGACCACUGAUUGGUUAAAGAAUCUUUUUACUGCACUAGGCGUAAGUAGGAUGGCCCCAUCAAGGGGGCCCAAUGCUUAAAGGCAGGUGUACAAUCAUCACCCUUAUGCACAGUUAAAAAAUUUAAAGUAAAGAGGAUAGCAUUAAGAAUAUUAUGGGGAGACCAUGGGGAGGCUCUGUCUCUCCCUUUUGCUUUAAAAUGGCAGACUUUAGCUCUUUGUGGGCUCUUUCCACCAGCCCUUGUCCCCGGGGGUUGUAAGGAAUACCAGUGGUAUGUUUAACCUUCCACUUGGAUCAGAACUCCUUAAAGGUUAUACUUGUAUACUCGGGGCCAUUGUCUG